AUUCAGCGGCGGACGGGUGAGUAAUGCCUAGGAAUCUGCCCGAUAGUGGGGGACAACGUUUCGAAAGGAACGCUAAUACCGCAUACGUCCUACGGGAGAAAGCAGGGGACCUUCGGGCCUUGCGCUAUCGGAUGAGCCUAGGUCGGAUUAGCUAGUUGGUGAGGUAAUGGCUCACCAAGGCGACGAUCCGUAACUGGUCUGAGAGGAUGAUCAGUCACACUGGAACUGAGACACGGUCCAGACUCCUACGGGAGGCAGCAGUGGGGAAUAUUGGACAAUGGGCGAAAGCCUGAUCCAGCCAUGCCGCGUGUGUGAAGAAGGUCUUCGGAUUGUAAAGCACUUUAAGUUGGGAGGAAGGGCUGUCGGCUAAUACCCUGCAGUUUUGACGUUACCAACAGAAUAAGCACCGGCUAACUUCGUGCCAGCAGCCGCGGUAAUACGAAGGGUGCAAGCGUUAAUCGGAAUUACUGGGCGUAAAGCGCGCGUAGGUGGUUCAGCAAGUUGGAUGUGAAAGCCCCGGGCUCAACCUGGGAACUGCAUCCAAAACUACUGAGCUAGAGUACGGUAGAGGGUGGUGGAAUUUCCUGUGUAGCGGUGAAAUGCGUAGAUAUAGGAAGGAACACCAGUGGCGAAGGCGACCACCUGGACUGAUACUGACACUGAGGUGCGAAAGCGUGGGGAGCAAACAGGAUUAGAUACCCUGGUAGUCCACGCCGUAAACGAUGUCAACUAGCUGUUGGGUUCCUUGAGAACUUAGUAGCGAAGCUAACGCGAUAAGUUGACCGCCUGGGGAGUACGGCCGCAAGGUUAAAACUCAAAUGAAUUGACGGGGGCCCGCACAAGCGGUGGA
rnacentral:rRNA from 1 species